GGCCAAUGGCGGCAGGCUUAACACAUGCAGUCGAGCGGUAGCACAGGGGAGCUUGCUCCCCGGGUGACGAGCGGCGGACGGGUGAGUAAUGUCUGGGAAACUGCCUGAUGGAGGGGGAUAACUACUGGAAACGGUAGCUAAUACCGCAUAACGUCGCAAGACCAAAGAGGGGGACCUUCGGGCCUCUUGCCAUCAGAUGUGCCCAGAUGGGAUUAGCUAGUAGGUGGGGUAAUGGCUCACCUAGGCGACGAUCCCUAGCUGGUCUGAGAGGAUGACCAGCCACACUGGAACUGAGACACGGUCCAGACUCCUACGGGAGGCAGCAGUGGGGAAUAUUGCACAAUGGGCGCAAGCCUGAUGCAGCCAUGCCGCGUGUGUGAAGAAGGCCUUCGGGUUGUAAAGCACUUUCAGCGAGGAGGAAGGUGGUGAGCUUAAUACGCUCAUCAAUUGACGUUACUCGCAGAAGAAGCACCGGCUAACUCCGUGCCAGCAGCCGCGGUAAUACGGAGGGUGCAAGCGUUAAUCGGAAUUACUGGGCGUAAAGCGCACGCAGGCGGUUUGUUAAGUCAGAUGUGAAAUCCCCGGGCUCAACCUGGGAACUGCAUUUGAAACUGGCAAGCUAGAGUCUCGUAGAGGGGGGUAGAAUUCCAGGUGUAGCGGUGAAAUGCGUAGAGAUCUGGAGGAAUACCGGUGGCGAAGGCGGCCCCCUGGACGAAGACUGACGCUCAGGUGCGAAAGCGUGGGGAGCAAACAGGAUUAGAUACCCUGGUAGUCCACGCUGUAAACGAUGUCGAUUUGGAGGUUGUGCCCUUGAGGCGUGGCUUCCGGAGCUAACGCGUUAAAUCGACCGCCUGGGGAGUACGGCCGCAAGGUUAAAACUCAAAUGAAUUGACGGGGGCCCGCACAAGCGGUGGAGCAUGUGGGUUUAAUUCGAUGCAACGCGAAGAACCUUACCUUACUCUUGACAUCCAGAGAACUUAUCAGAGAUGCUUUGGUGCCUUCGGGAACUUCUGAGAACAGGUGCUGCAUGGACUGUCGUCAGCCUCCGUGCUUGUGAAAUGUUUGGGUUUAAGGUCCCCGCAACGGAGCCGCAACCUUUAUUCCGUUUGUUUGGCCAGGCGGGUUUCGGCCGGGAACUUCAAGGAAAACUUGCCCAGCUGAUAACCUGGAGGAAAGGGGUGGCAUUGAGCGAUCAGCUCACUUGGCACUUACGGAGUAUAGGUUUUAACACACCAG
rnacentral:rRNA from 1 species